UACGUAGGGUCCGAGCGUUGUCCGGAAUUAUUGGGCGUAAAGAGCUCGUAGGCGGUCUGUCGCGUCGGCUGUGAAAACACGGGGCUCAACUCCGUGCCUGCAGUCGAUACGGGCAGACUAGAGUUCGGUAGGGGAGACUGGAAUUCCUGGUGUAGCGGUGGAAUGCGCAGAUAUCAGGAGGAACACCGAUGGCGAAGGCAGAUCUCUGGGCCGUAACUGACGCUGAGGAGCGAAAGCAUGGGGAGCGAACAGG
rnacentral:rRNA from 1 species